UGACGAGUGGGAGCAGAGGUCCCCAUAAUCAGCAGCUGGUUUGCUCAUUGCUGGGAAACACAGAAGACAGGUCGGUCACUGGACAGGGGGUGCAGAACCCAGCGCUGGAGUGCACAGAGGAUGCAGACACACACAGAGAGAAGAACGUGUAAGAUGUCCAUCUGCAAGACAAGGAGAGAGGCUUCAGGAGAAAGCAACCCUGCUCACACUUUGAUCACAGACUUGUGGCCUCCAGAAUGAGACCGUGAAUCCCCUGAUUGCUGACUCCCUGGUCCCAGCACUGUGCUGAUGAAUUCCUGAUGUCCACG
rnacentral:lncRNA from 1 species